rnacentral:lncRNA from 1 species
AGAAGCGGACAAGCAAACAGCGGAUGUGCAGUUCCUCUCUUCGCCGAACCCGGUUUUCCCUUUCGGAGCAGCGCGACCGAUUUCCGGUUUCCCCGCCGCAACCACCGUUACCCCCCCCCCGCCCCAAUCCCCGGCGACUCCAGCGACGUCACCGGUUCAGCUCCUGACCUUUCGGCGAACCGCAGAACCACAGGCGACCCGUUCGACGUCAUCACUCCCCGCCCAGAUGUCGCUGUGACAUCACCCCGCACGUGCCUGCGCUGGCACCGCGUCGUCCUGGCGAGCGCCUCCUCGCGGCGGAAGGAGAUCCUGGGGUUCGCUGUGCGAGACAUGUCGGCGGGGUUUCACGUGAGUGACACUUGGUCCCCACGGGAUUGACAGCGACUAGCGGAGUGGCAUGUGGACGUAGCUUCAGGCCUUGGAGGGGCUGAUCCUGGAGAAGUCAAAGGACCAGGAGGACGCCAUGGGGGGUGCUGUACAGGCUGAGCAGGAAGCAGAGCAGCACAGCGUCAUCAUGAGGGUAGCCAUCUUCACCUGGGGCAUCCACGGAGGCCCUGCCCAGGAAGUGACUUUCUCUCUACUGUAGGAGGAGCUGAUCCACGACUACUUGGACAACAGCACACCAGCGAAGGAUGGUGGAAGAAAAGUGUUUUGAAACUGACCCUACAGAUAAAAGAGUUCAUCAUGAAUGCGAUACCCUCCUAUACAGUUGUUAGAAGCAACCCUCCAUCUCCAACUCCAAAAAUAAAUGAAAACCAAACCACACAGUUGGAAAUCAGCAAGAAGAGAACCGGAUGGUGGAUGGCAGCAGAUGGACAGGAGAGCACUCAGCAGCACUUGCUCUUCCAGCCCGUCACGCCUCCUCCACUGCUGAUAUCUACGUUUUCACUGUUGGGUUCUUUUACAGGGGUCUGCAACAACACAAGGAAGCAAGCAACCCGUGAGAAAGCACUGGCAUGGAUGAAAACAGACUCACUGGAAAGAUGCAAAGCAAUGUCAGGUUACACAACAAAAGGCAAUUACAGUCAUAUGAGGGAGUGUUCGAAAAGUUGUAAUUUGAAAACUGUUUUUGGUUGUCCUUUAGUUGGCCUCCUCUGUAAAUUGUGACAGACAUCUCCUGACAACACUUAAAGCAUCUCAAACCAUCCUUGCCCUGAUCUAUGAGUUCUCAGAACAGAAGGACUACUGAGCCAGGCGUGGUAGCACAUGCCUGUGAUCCUACAACUCAGAAGACAGAAGAGGAAUUCUAGGUCAGCCUGGGCUAGACAGACAGCAAGACUCUUGUUUUGUUUUGAAAGGCUGGUGAGGUAGUUCAGCGGGUUAACUGCCUGGUCUAAGCCCAGUGACGUGAGUUUGUGUGCUGUGGAGCUUCUGCAAACCCUGCCCCUGCCAAAUAAAAACUCGUAAUUUAUAACUCACAAAAA